CCUACGGGAGGCAGCAGUGGGGAAUUUUGCACAAUGCUCGUAAGAGUGACGCAGCGACGCCGCGUGAAUGACGAAGGCCUUCGGGUCGUAAAGUUCUUUCGACAGGGAAGAAAAUGCCUAUAAGUAACUGUGCAUGUAUUGACGGUACCUGUAUAAGCAGCCCCGGCUAACUCCGUGCCAGCAGCCGCGGUAAUACGGAGGGGGCAAGCGUUGUUCGGAGUUACUGGGCGUAAAGAGCACGUAGGCGGUGUUGUAAGUCAUUUGUCAAAGCCUAGGGCUCAACCUUAGUAAGGCAAGUGAAACUGGAAGACUAGAGUAUCAGAGAGGAUGGCAGAAUUCCAGGUGUAGCGGUGAAAUGCGUAGAGAUCAGGAGGAAUACCGGUAGCGAAGGCGGCAAUCUGGCUGAAAACUGACGCUGAGGUGCGAAAGCGUGGGUAGCAAACAGGAUUAGAUACCCGAGUAGUC
rnacentral:rRNA from 1 species